rnacentral:rRNA from 1 species
GACGAACGCUGGCGGCGUGCCUAAUACAUGCAAGUAGAACGCUGAAGAGAGGAGCUUGCUCUUCUUGGAUGAGUUGCGAACGGGUGAGUAACGCGUAGGUAACCUGCCUGGUAGCGGGGGAUAACUAUUGGAAACGAUAGCUAAUACCGCAUAACAACAGUUGUUGCAUGACAGCUGUUUAAAAGAUGCAAUUGCAUCACUACCAGAUGGACCUGCGUUGUAUUAGCUAGUUGGUGAGGUAACGGCUCACCAAGGCGACGAUACAUAGCCGACCUGAGAGGGUGAUCGGCCACACUGGGACUGAGACACGGCCCAGACUCCUACGGGAGGCAGCAGUAGGGAAUCUUCGGCAAUGGGGGGAACCCUGACCGAGCAACGCCGCGUGAGUGAAGAAGGUUUUCGGAUCGUAAAGCUCUGUUGUAAGAGAAGAACGGGUGUGAGAGUGGAAAGUUUCCCACUG